UAGGUCAACAAGUCAAAGGUUAUUAAAAUUGAUAUUGGAUGAAUUUACUAAAUUACCCCUCUUUACCCUUAAAGGUUAAGGAACCACUUUGGUCUUGGAUAAACAUUUCAUUUGAAAGAAGAUAAGGGGAGCUAACUAGAGAGAGAUAGGGGAAGGAAAAACCUUGGAGCUUUGAUCUCCAUCUUCUUCAAGCUUAGAUCUCAAAGCUAUUGGAGUAUUCUAGGGAUUUUGACAAAGAGUUUUUGGGCGAGCUUAAUAGCUAAGAUUUGGAUGUUUUUAGAGUAGUAAGGACAUGUGAAUAGCAUGAGCACAAGUGGUGGGGUCUCGAAGGUGACUUUUGAAACUAAGAGACUUAGUCCUAGUGUUGGAGCUUAUCACAAAUGUUUGUUUCUUUUGGAAAUUCCCUUUGACCCUUGUAUUUUUGGUAACCCGUUGUGCUUGUGACGUAUUUUGGAUAUACUACUCAUGAUUGUAAAAAUUUGUGUGUGGAUUUAAUGAGCUUUUGGGAAGAACUAGUUGCUUAUAUUUUGUAAUUUUGGGUUGUGGAAUUGUUAUGUAUUUAAGUGUUGUUAUGAAGGUUUCGAGAGAUACGUGCGGUUAGGCUUCGUAUUGUUACAAGUUUUCAUGUAACGGUACGGUCGGGUCAUGUCCUAGAAGUGGGGCGUGACAAGUUACCAUCCUGUAUUCAGGUGUGGCUAAACUACAUGUAAACAUAUCUUAACAAUCUAUGCAUAAAUACCAAAUGCAUGCCAAUUAGCUUGCAUCUCUGUA